GGUGGAGGUAGUUGUUCCGCGGCGGAAUGGUUGUCGACCGCGGUAAGGGUCCUCUGCGGGCGGUGUGGAGUGGUAGACGGUGGUUGUCGGAGUACAGUCGCGAUCAGCACCGUCCGUGUCGCGGUCUGCCCGGCGGCGGUGCGGGGGAGUCGCAUAAGUGCGCGUGCGUUACAACGACGAUGUUAUCAUAAUAUUAUUAUUGUGCAUCGGGUUUAGUUCGGGAACCCGGUCGCCGGCAGAUGGCGCGUCCUACGUUGUCCGCGAAAACCGAAUCCUCCAGCUCACGUUUAUUAUUGGUACACCUACUCAUGAAUAAGGCUCGAAAAUUAAUUUUUUUUUUUCAAAAAAGAUUAAAGAUUAACAUUUUAUUAAAAAAAUACAUCAUGUUAAAGUCUGUGUAAUGUAAUGAAUAAAAAGUUAUAAGAAGUAUAAAGGACAUGUGGUCUUGAGCAAAGGGAGUGUCCAUGAUGGUGAUAAAAAUCGUGCACUAAGGAGUUCAAUCUAUAUAAAAACUUCAAUAAUAUGUUGUAUGCUAAUUAAAUCAAUUUAAAGUAACAUGGUAUUUUAAUCACAUUUAAAACCGUGUAAUUACCUGAAAACAAUCAUUUAUUAUGAUAAAAUAUAUAAGACUAUACGGAAGUACAAGUGGAUUUACCGGCAGUGAAAGAUACAGUAUAUAGUGUAUACAUUCAACAUUGAUAAUAAAAUAUUAAAAGAAGAAUUCGACAGAAUGAUAGAAAACAAUUUAGUAUUGGAAAAAAGAUUGACAGAUUUAUCAGAUAUGAUCAGACACAGUGAAAAAAACAAAUAUCGUCAAUGUCGAGAUAUCUACAAUUGUGUCAAUAUGAAGAAUCUUUGUUAACAAACAUGGCCCAACCGCAACCACACACGCAGUUGGAUAAAUCUUACGCGUCUUCGGCGCUGUUUGUACGACAAGAUUAACAAAUUUUCUAAAGACCAGCAGUCGGUUUUACAUUAAAAACACGUAUUUGCUAUUUGCCACACGCUGUUCGUUUGCUUAGGUGAUACUGAAAAGUCGAUUCGGAAGUGUGGAUCACUGAAAGCCUGGAACGAAACCCUAGAAAGAGAUGUAAUGAAGAAUACUUUAAACAUCAGUGCAUUGAAUCAUUCGUCCCAGUCGUUGGAGUUGGCUAGAUGCUAUGACUUUGGGUCAACUAGAAUGAUGCCCUCCCCCGAUAAACACGGUUACAUUCGACCAGAUACAUUCGGAGUUUCGACGGUGUGCAAUAAUAAGUCUUCGGUGCCGAAACCGCCGGAUACGUAUUUGGUACCAACGACACCAUCGUAUCCACCACCCCCAUCGCCGGCUCUUAAAGCGCCACCGCUGCUGUCGUUGGCGGCGCGGAGUACGCCAAAACCUAUGAAUACAGCUACCGGUGAAAAAUUGCACUAUAGGUUUCCAAUCACAACGGACAUUUUAAAAUCCGUUGUGCUUAAACCAUCCGGCGAGAGGAAGCAAAAUCAGUGUGUAGAGUUAAAAUGAUGACGUUACAAAACGCGUCAUAUUGUUAGUUUAUUGUUGAUUGUUUAUUUAUACAUAAAAUAAAACUGUUAAUACCAUAAGAGUGUACCGAUGUUCUACUCGAUGUUUUUGAAUUAACCGUAAAAUUCCGAUUUUAGAUGAUUAUACCCAUCUAAAACACCACAGAUCGUAAAUAUGAAAAAUAAUGAGUCUUUGAAUUUGGUGAGCAGUGAUAAACAUUACCGCACGGGGUUCACCGUCCGGAAAAUGCGUAUUCUAAAAUAUUUCAUCUACGUAUUUGCAGGCUUCGUCAAUUCGACUCAGAUCGAUAUACCGUAUUUUAUUUCCAACGAAAAACCAACGUUUAAAAAUGAACGAGGUCCGCGACGUUUUUCGAUCCCGACCGUUUAGUAUUGAAAAAACGUCUAUGAUGUCUGUGGUCUGUGGCGUAGAAUGCACCAGCCGUUGUAAUAUAAUUAUGCAAUAAUACACAGCGUAUUAUGGUAUUUACAGUGAUAGUCGUUUAAUGCUUUUAUUCUUUGAAUAUCCUCGAACGGUACGCGAAAUUAAUAAAAGAAAUAAAAAUGAAAAUCGGGGUUAACAUUCUUAAUGUAUCGGCGGACCCAUUGGUUUAGAGCCAUAACUCUCGAGGGAUGGUGUGGAACGAACGUAUAAAACCAUACCUCGCUCCUCCGUCCGCAGUUACCGCACCCACUGUAAUGCGCCAAUGCUUCGGUCACGGAUGCAUCAAUUGUUUUCAACGAUAAAUGCGGAAUAUGUUUCACUAUAGUAUACAUUGUCAUUCUGCAAUAACUCAUUUUAACAAAUAUUUUUCAAAUAUUAUUUUGCAAAAUAAUUACUGUGCAUCAGGCACUAUAGAAAGCUAUAAUAUUAUUUUAAUUAGCCACUUUAGUUUCACCUAUGAACUCAAAACUAAAACACAGUUAUUUAAUAUUAGUGUUAGUUCAGUGUAUAGGUAUAGAUGUUUUAUUUAAAUAAUCUAUUAGAUAAUCACUAAUGCUGUUUUUUUUUAAAUAUUAUUAUAGUUUAUGCAAGAGAGUGAAGAAAAGUGCUAGCAGUUCAUGGGUUGGUGUUUUUAAAAAUAAACACAGUGAUUGGUGAAUAAUGUGCAAAUUAUUAUUAUCAUUAUUAUUAUUAUCAGUGGCACAUCCGAGUUUAGGAAAAUUAUACAAUUCUUAAAUUGAACAAACAAAUAUAAUAUCGUAUGUAUAAACCAAUGGAAAAUAAGCUGCAUGAACCAAAUUAUAUAAGAUUCUCACGUUUUACGUAUCACUCAUAUUAUUAUUGAGUGUCGGAUCAACCAUCGUUUUGGAUUCAAUUGAUUGGCCCGAAAUAAAAUAUAACCACAACAGCGAACUCGAUGACAGUUGGAAGUCGGCGAUUAUUGGACUCUGAUUAAUUGAUUAAUUUGCCUAUUGACCUCAAAACGGACUAGUUAUGAAUGUUCAAUUUUAAUUUUAGCAGCAAAUGUGUUUGAUGAAUCAUUUGUGAGCGACGCUUCGGUAACGACGACUCCUUCGGAAAAACAGACCACGAUGAUCGACACUCCUUCUGAAUGGACGAAUGACGAUAAAGUCAAUCUAUCGAAAAAUUCCAAGACUAAGAUGACAAAUACAAGAACGACGAUGACGACAACUACAUCGAAUACGACGACCGUGACGUCUACAUCAACGCCGACGUCUAUGGCUUCGUUAACCACAUCUGCGUUGACGAUCACGUCUGCGACGACAACAACCGGCACAUGUUAAUUUUUCGAUUUUAAUGUCAAUUAGGUAUCUAAUAUCUCAGUCGUUAAAAUAUAUCAUUUCAAAAAUUGUUUUGAUUUUUAAAUUUAAUUUACAUGACUAACUUUCAAUUUUAAUUUUAAAAAAUCGUUUCAAGCUUUAUGUAUUAUAUAUUUACAUAGUACAAUAUAUUAUAUUAUUAUAUACUAACUGAUAAUAUAUCAAUCAAAAUGACAAAAUAAAUAUGUAAUAUUUUUAUCGGAAAUUUAAAAUAAAAUCAAUCUAAAAAUAAAUGUAAUAAAUAUAUUAAUGCUAUUUAAAUUGAAUUGCAUAAUAAUUAACAUUUGUGUUAUAUUGAUUUAUAUUUAAAAAAAUCGGAGGGUCUGAGCCCAUUGGGUGCAUGUAUGUUGAUUAUAAAUAUAUUAUAUACUUACGAAUUACGAGCAGCAGGAACUGUAUAGGGGACACUCACACUAUGAGCUGCGCUACAACAAUACAACGGUAUAAUAGGUAAGUGAGAGCAAAGCAAUUUGAUUAAUUUAGUUUUUAAGAUGUAUUAAAAUGUUUAAUAAAUGAAAAAUUAAGAAAUAUAUUAAUAAUGUUUAGAUGUAAAUUAUAUCGUCAAUAACGAUUUAUUACCUAAUAAAGUAAUAACACGUGUGGUAUAUGUACCUACUUGUGUUAUCAUUUGUCUGUUUAUUACGUAUUAUAAUUAAGAUGUGAAGCAGUGAACAGCCUAGCCAACAAAUGUCUACAUUCCUUUAAAAUACUAAGUAAAAAAAUGACUAUGUUGUAUCAAUGCCUAUAGGUAUACAUAGGCACACAGCAGAUGAGUAACGUCAUUUUACAUUUAUUAUAUGCAUAGGUAGUAAGUACUUAAUUUAGAGACCAGUAAAUUUAGAUUGGCGGGUGGAAAAAUGCAUAAGUAGGCACACGCAUUCAUGAACAUUUGUUUACAAUUAUCUUAUGCGCGAUGAAUUUAAACAAACAAGGAACGAGCGUUUUUAACAUCAGUCAUUCGUAUAGAUAAGGUAUUUUAGUUAAAACUAUUUUUUUCUAGUUGUAAAAAAACCUAUGGUGAACUAUUUGUGAUGUAUACUUACAAAAUCAAUAAAAUAUUUAUUCAGUACAAAAAGAUGAACGACAGGUAAUACGCCCGUUAUCGUCAGUCCUUCGUCCGGAGAAGUAUCUAACUACAAUAAUAUAUGUGCUUCGAGAAAUAAUAAAAAUCCACCAUCGAAAAACUACAUCUACGUGUUACAAAAGAUAUUUAGCUGCCCAAUUUUAAUUUCUCUUUAAUAGGCGUGUCUAGAAUUACUUCUAGGUAAGUAUAUCUGUAGUUGCAAUUAUACCGUCAAAACGUAAUUUGGUCUAUGGCUCCACACUGCAGCAAACUUUGUUAUUUAAUUAUUAAGUAAUAUUUUGCAGUUUAUAAUGCACGAACAAUGGAACAUGAACUAGCAAUACUCUUGGCGCAUGAAUUGAAAUGAAACCACAAUUCUAAGGUUUAAAAAAGGUUCGGUGCUUUCUAAGGAAUAAACUCAAGCUCAUUCUGAAUUUACAUAUUAUCAAGGACGGCGAAAGCUAUGGGCGACCAGGACGAGUGCUCAGUGUGCCAAACUGAAAAUUAUUUUUAUUUAAUUUCUUUUAAUACGUAUUAACACAGUGCCGUAAAUACGACCAUACGGAGGUGCACGACGGUGCACUUGCACCCCCUGGCAAUAUAUAGCAGGUGCAAAGAUAUGCGUUUGCACCUGUUGAAAUAAACUGAACUGAAAAAUCAAAAUUUUAUAAAAAUAUAAUUCCAUUUUAUUGUUUUAUUGAAUUGUUAUUAUUAUGUUAUGUUAUGAUUAUGCUUUGCACCCAGGGGGCUCUAAGAUUUGAUUGAGGGGACUAAGCCAUAUUUUUCACAUAAUUUAAUAACAAAAAAUAUAAUAUGUAUUACCUAUAGGUAUGUUCUUAAGAGGAUGGGGCUGGAGUUGCGCCUGUUUGCACCUGCUGAAAUUUAAUGGAAUUACGCCAAUGUAUCAACAAUCUACACAAUUUUAAAUAUUCAUUAUCUAAUGUAGAUAUAUAUGAAAGAUAAAUCUGCAAUUUUCUCAUAUUUGUUUA